ACAGAUCUCCGCCUCAGCCAACCCCGAUCCCGCAGGAUUGACUGCAACCUUACUUGAAUUCCCAGCAUGAGCUCAGGACUUCAAUGGAAAUCCGAAAACGACAAAAAAUAAGGCUGAGCAACUAGGAACAGACAAGGAGCCUUCCUACUACAGAGAUCCAGCUGCUUCUGCCUCCCAGGUGCUGGGGUUAAAGAACAUUCAUCUGGCGAUGGAUGGAGAUAGAGACAGAAACCCACAUUGGAGCACCGGACUGAGCUCCCAAGGUCCACAUGAGGAACAGAAGGAGGGAGAACAUGAGCAAGGAAGUCAAGACCACGAGGGGGGCACCCACCCACUGAGACGGUGGGGCUUAUCUUUUGGGAGCUCACCAAGGCCAGCUGGACUGGGACUGAAUAAGCAUGGGCUACUGAGAAUCCAAGGACAAUGGCACUGAGUUUUGGCCCUACUGCAUGUACUGGCUUUGUGGGAGCCUAGCCAAUUUGGAUGCUCACCUUUGUAGACCUGGAUGGAGGAGGUAGGACCUUGGACUUCCCACAGGGCAGGGAACCCUGACUGCUCUUUGGACUGGAGAGCGAGGGGGAGGAGGGAGGGAGGUGUGGGGAGUGGGGGGAGAGGGAGGGAAAAGGGAGGCGGGGAGGAGACGGAAAUUUUUAAUAACAAAAAAUUUAAUAAAAAAGAAUCUAAAAAAGAAAAUAAAUAAAAAAUAAAAGGCAGUAAUAAGCCUGAGAUUUUGACUGAGCAUUUAUCAUUAAUAUAACUCUCAGUGAGUUUAUUUGAGAGCACAAAAAUGUAGUCAGGAGCAACUUAUUGGUAACUGCCUUUUCUCCAGUGACUUUUGCUUGCUGGCAGUGAGCAGAGGUAUGACUCCUUUAGGAGACAGUUACCUGAAAUGGCAAAAAAUGGGCAACUCCCUUGAGAGGCUCUGCUACUAAACUCUUAAGUGGUGUGUGUGAAUGGUGGAUGAGAUGCUACUUGGUGGCUAUGUACACCCAGAAUUUUCCUAGAGUUAGGGUGAUAACAUAGUUUCCAGAGCUGGUGAUAAACAUACAUCAGCCAUGAGACUAGGAUCUCAGGGAAGCAAGCAGGUGGAGUCAGCCACAAGAGCUGCCAGUGAAAAGUCACUUAGCAGUUUAAAGGUUGACUUGUGUGGUCAGAAAAAAAUAAAGAUAUAUAAUAAAAUGAGAAUCAGAUUGAAAAACAAUGUCUAAAUGUGCCAUGGUAUUUAAAAAUAUAUGUAAGCUUAAGAAAGAAAAUAAACUGAGUAUAGAAAGUCACAGAAAGAAUAGUUUAAAGUUAUAAAGUCUUUAAAAAGAGAUGUACAAUAAUAAAAAAGAUUAAGUCAUACAGAGAUGGGAAAUACACAGGGAGUCUGGAUAAGGUAUGUUAUUAUAUUAAUUUUGAAUUUUUUUGAAUUCUAAUGAGCAAAAGACAGUUGCUAGGGGCAUGGAAUUGUGAACAGGACUGCAAAUUUUAAAUUUCGGGCUAUUCUAAAUUUAAAAACAAAAUAAAGAUAUACUUGUCAAAAAUCAAAAAUGUUUUAGAGAAGAGUAUUUGCUUUUGUUCCCACAGGAAAGAAGAAUCUGUGCAUUCCUUCAGGAAUAAUAUUUAUCAGGUUUGAUCAUGGAAGUCCUCAUGAAUCUUGCAUAUGAUAUAUAUAAGUUUACUGCUUAUCUUUCUAGCACUUGGUCAUUGUCUCAAAUGUUGUUAAACACCCUAGAGAUGUCUUUAACAGAUAACAAAAAGCAAUUUGGAGAACAUGAUGCCCAUGUUCCCAAGAGGUGUAGGGGAGGCAUUUUGUUAUUUGGUGGCCUAUGGAUGUUUGUUAUCAAUUAGGGAAAUAUACCAUAUUGAUGUAAAUUUAAGUAAAUUUUGUGUCAUGGCACAUAUGUUUCUACUGUUGUUUAAGUUGUUAUACAUUUGCAGUUCAUUAAAAAAUAAAAGCUAAAGUUCUAGUUUUUGAAAGUUAUUAUAAAAUAUUUAGUGUAAUCAACAAAUACAAGUUGUAGUUAGUCAUUUACAAAAAUCAUACCUGUAGAUAAUGUUAGGUAUGUUUUCAAGAUCAUGUAAUGAUAUAUUUUAGACAGAUAAAAGAUUUUCAAGCACUUCAAAGAUCUACAGAAUAUGAUAUGAAAUCUUUUGAUAACAUAAGGUUUUUCAUGACAAUGAAACACAUCUUCUCCUGGUAGCAUCAAUUUACUUCAGAGAAGGUAAUGGGCAUCAAUUCAACUCUGUAGGCAUUUGCUUUUUUUUUUUGUAGCAAGAUUAGUAAUUUUGACAAGAAACUACUUUUGCCUUGACUGCUUGACUGCAUGCUCUAUAAAAUGGACAUGCUAGACCCAUAGGAAAAAGAUUGCUGAACUUGGCCAAAAUACGGCAAGAUAUACUUUCAAGAUUCCUGCUUCAUAGAAAUGUCUGCUAGACAGACAUUCUGCAGGACACAUAGGAUAAUAUAUGUUGAACUUUUCCAAUACAAGGCAUAAUAGUCCUUUGGGAUUCCUCCGUCAUAAAAGAAUCUGUCAGACAUUCUGCAGGACACAAAGGAAAACAAUUGAUGAACUUUGCUAAUACAAGACAGGAAGGUCCUUCAAAUUUUUUGCAUCACAGAAAAGUCUGCCAGAUACUCUAAGAUGGUGUACUGGAGAUGGAUGCCCCAAUGUUACAGAGAAAUUUGACUGUCCAGAAAGCAAGAUAUCCUGUCAUUAAGUAACAUAUCAUCCUUCUGGGGCCUUUGAUGAAGUUGUAGAUUAGAUUGUCUUAAUUAUAACUUUCCUCAGUUACAAUGAAUAAAUUAAGUAUAAAAUUUUAGAAGCACCAAGACAAAAUAGAUGAGGGAAUAUUUUAUCUAAUUUUUGCCAAAUACAAAUUGACUAGACAUUGUACCUGUAAUUCUUAAUAACUGUCUUUGUUGUUUAUAAUCUUACUAUGUUAAAGUUAAACCUUCCAUUUUAAUUAGACAAAAAGUGAGAAAUGCUGUGGAAUAAUCUUUUUGUACACUGUAAAUAUGUAUUACUGUCAUUGACUUAAUAAAGAAGUUGACUGACUAAUAGCUGAAAAUGAUAGAGAUAGGUAGGAGACUGAAACUAAGAAUGAGGAAAAGAAGAAGGGUGGAGUCAGAGGAGUCAUCAGCAAAAGCUGAGGGAGCAGAAGACAAAUGUGCUAUGCUAGUAAAGAUGCCACCAUGUGGCAGAAUGUAAUAACAAUUAUGCAUUAAUUUAAAAUGUUUGAGCUGGUUAGCAAUAAACCUGAGCUUUUGACUGAGGAUUUGUAAUUAAUAUAAGCCUUGGUGUGUUUAUUUGAUAGUUUCUGGAAGGACCUAAACUUCCAUCUAUAUAAAUGAAACCAGAAAAAAAAUCCAAAGUUACAUAGGAUCCCUAGGUUUAUUGUACUAACAAGAAAAGCAGAUGUGACUGCACAGACUCCACAAACCACCAGAGGACCUAGUGACUUAAUUAGGAGUAAUGUGGAAGCCAAGAUUUGAAAUUCAGAAGUAAAAUUGGGGGAUAAUAUAUAGAAUCCCAGAAAGUUAAAUCUAUAUUCCUCUUUGAAUUAAUACGUUGUCUAUCUGAAAAUUGACCAAUAUGAACAUCCCUAAAGAUUUCCAUAGUGAUGAUGAUUUCAUUAUGAUUAGAGAGAGAACAGAGAGGGUAUUUCUGUCCUCUUCCUUUCUUUGACAAUUUUUGAUUUAUUUUUUUUAGACUAGAAAGAAGAAAUUUACAAAUAUGCUAACAGACAUCAAUUUUCUUGUAGUUUCUGAGUCACAAUAUCAUAUUGUUUUGCUUGUCUUUUUUUAUCAUGUCCUUGAGGAAUUGAAAAGUGCUACUAAAGAAAUAACAAAA